GAUGAAGAACGCAGCGAAAUGCGAUAAGUAAUGUGAAUUGCAGAAUUCAGUGAAUCAUCGAAUCUUUGAACGCACAUUGCGCCCGCCAGUAUUCAGGCGGGCAUGCCUGUUCGAGCGUCAUUACAACCCUCAGGCCCCCGGGCCUGGCGUUGGGGAUCGGCGGAAGCCCCCUGCGGGCACAACGCCGUCCCCCAAAUACAGUGGCGGUCCCGCCGCAGCUUCCAUUGCGUAGUAGCUAACACCUCGCAACUGGAGAGCGGCGCGGCCACGCCGUAAAACACCCAACUUCUGAAUGUUGACCUCGAAUCAGGUAGGAAUACCCGCUGAACUUAAGCAUAUCAAUAAGCGGAGGA
rnacentral:misc_RNA from 1 species